rnacentral:RNase_P_RNA from 1 species
AAAUAAAUUGAGAUGAUCGCCCCAGGCCUAGCUUGGGGAGGACAAAGUCCGAACACCACAGCCGUCUUUGACGGAGAUAGUUGUUAACGGCAACCGGUUAUCAGGGUGACUUGAUAGCAAGGACAAGUUGAACAGAAAAUAUACCUACCGGCAUCCGCCGGUUAAGGGUGAAAUGGUCAGAUAAUGAGCUGACCCGUUAGUCUGGUGACAGAUUAAAAGAGCUAAACUCUAUCUGGUGCAAAACUAAGUAGGCCGAGGCGCAAGCUGAGGCGGGUAAGUUGCUUGAGGCUAUAGGCAACUAUAGUCCUAGAUAGAUGAUCAUCGUCCGCCUUUGGCGGAGACAGAAUUCGGCUUAUUAUAUUUAUUUGGGU